GGCCUUUUGAUUAUGAUUUAAGGUCUUACCUGCCCGAUGAUUUUUGAAUGGCCGCAGUAUUUUGACUGUGCAAAGGUAGCAUAAUCAUUAGUUUCUUAAUUAGAAGCUGGAAUGAAUGGUUUGAUGAAAAACUGACUGUCUCUUUAUAAUUGUUUUAUAAUUUUAUUUUUAAGUCAAAAAGCUUAAAUUUUAUACAAAGACGAGAAGACCCUAUAGAGUUUUACAUUUUAGGGGUAGCUUAUUUGAGGGUUAUUUAUUUAGGCUACUUUGAAAAUUGUUUUGUUGGGGUGACAUGAAAAUUUAAGAAACUUUUCAUUAGUUUUACACUGAUUAGUGAGUAUAUGAUCCUAUUUUUUAGAUUAUAAGAUUAAAUUACCUUAGGGAUAACAGCGUAAUUCUUUUUGAAAGUUCUUAUUGAUAAAAGAGUUUGCGA
rnacentral:rRNA from 1 species